AUGGCUUCCCCAGAUAUCUCCUUUGAUAUUCGCCCAGAGUUUAACUCAUUUGAUCAUCUAAGAAGCACGGGAUAUAUUUCAACAGAUAGACCAUGGUUGAAACUAUAUGGAAUAAGAGUUCCACCCGUGUCACCGUUCAACAGUUUGAGCAGUACGCCCGAUCUGGCACUCAUUCACCAGUGCUUACCUGAUGAACUGCUUAUCGAGAUAUUUGGGAGAAUGAGCCCAUAUACUUUAGGGAGGGCUGCUUGUGUCUGCCGCAAGUGGAAAUAUACUACACGCAAUCCUACUUUUUGGCGGAACGCUUGCCUGAAAACCUGGCAGAGGAAUGGAAUAGAGGCAAACUUCAGGAUGGUGCAGUCGUUAUAUGAUUCUUCCUGGAGAAAAAUGUGGGUGCAGAGACCAAGAAUCCGAAUUGAUGGUCUUUAUGUUAGUAGAAACACAUAUAUUCAUACUGGAAUUACAGAAUGGCAGUUCAAGAAAACUGUCAAUGUGGUUUGCUACUACCGUUACUUGAGAUUUUUUCCAACCGGGAAGUUCCUGUACAAGAUUUCCCCACAGAAAGUUAAAGAUGUUGUCAAGUGCAUGCAUCUCCGAGCAUCAAAAGGCGAUAGUGUGUUUAAAGGCGACUAUACACUGUCAGGGGAUGGCCAGAUAGAAAUGGCACUCCUAUAUCCUGGACAUCGGUACACACUUGUUAGGAUGCGCCUUAGGGUUAGAGGCACUACAAUUGGUGCAAAUAACAGGUUGGAUGUCUUAAAGAUCCUAACCACCGGGGUGAAUGGAACCGAACUGGGAAACUGGAAAGGCAACAUACUUGAACUUGUUGAGGACUGGGAGGAGAACGAGACGCACGACCCAGACGUGCCUGCUGUUUCCCACAGCAGGGGUUUGACUCCCUUUGUGUUUGUUCCAUUUGAGGAGGCUGAUACUUCAGUGCUAAACCUGCCGGUGGAGAAGAUGGAUUACUUUGUCCCUGGGUGA
rnacentral:rRNA from 1 species